rnacentral:rRNA from 1 species
GACAAACGCUGGCGGCGUGUAUUAGGCAUGCAAGUCGUACGCACACUUCGGUGUGAGUGGCGGACGGGUGAGUAACACGUGGGUAACCUGCCCUGGAGUGGGGAAUAACUCGCCGAAAGGCGAGCUAAUACCGCAUACCACCCCCGGUGAGAAUCCGGGCGGUAAAAGCAGUAAUGCGCUCUAGGAGGGGCCUGCGGCCGAUUAGCUUGUUGGUGGGGUAAUGGCUCACCAAGGCGACGAUCGGUAGCUGGUCUGAGAGGAUGGUCAGCCACACGGGGACUGAGAUACGGCCCCGACUCCUACGGGAGGCAGCAGCUAAGAAUCUUGCGCAAUGGGCGAAAGCCUGACGCAGCAACGCCGCGUGGGGGACGAAGGUUUUCGGAUCGUAAACUCCUUUUGCGAGGGAAGAAGUUCUGACGGUACCUCGCGAAUAAGACACGGCUAACUACGUG